ACUUUUUUAGUAUAUUUAUUAUAUUUGACUUCCAAUCAAAAGAUCUUUUCAAGAAAAAGUA
rnacentral:tRNA from 1 species